rnacentral:rRNA from 1 species
AUUAAGGUACUGCCUGCCCAGUGAAAAUUUUAACGGCCGCGGUACCAUAACCGUGCAAAGGUAGCGUAAUCACUUGUCCCUUAAAUAGGGACCCGUAUGAAUGGCUAAAUGAGGGCAAACCUGUCCCCUUGGACUACUCAAUGAAACUGAUCUAGCAGUACAAAAGCUGGUAUAUACCCAUAAGACGAGAAGACCCUGUGGAGCUUUAAACUAACCACUACCCCAAGCACCACCACCGCUACGGCGGCGAACGCACUCCCAUAAUAGUGCUAGAUUUUAGUUGGGGCGACUACGGAACAUAACAAAACUUCCAUGAUUUUAGGCUCCUCCCCAUCAAAGACCUACAAGUCAACGAUAAACAAAACCGACCCAGUAAUACUGAUCACCGAACCAAGUUACCCCAGGGAUAACAGCGCCAUCCCCUUUAAGAGUCCAUAUCGCCAAGGGGGCUUACGACCUCGAUGUUGGAUCAGGACCCCCAGGUGGUGCAGCCGCUACCAAUGGUUCGUUUGUUCAACGAUUAAUGUCCUACGUGAUC